rnacentral:rRNA from 1 species
AUUGAACGCNGGCGGCAUGCCUUAUCUCAGCAGUCGAACGGCAGCACGGAGCUUGCUCUGGUGGCGAGUGGCGAACGGGUGAGUAAUAUAUCGGAACGUACCCUAGAGUGGGGGAUAACGUAGCGAAAGUUACGCUAAUACCGCAUACGAUCUAAGGAUGAAAGUGGGGGAUCGCAAGACCUCAUGCUCGUGGAGCGGCCGAUAUCUGAUUAGCUAGUUGGUAGGGUAAAAGCCUACCAAGGCAUCGAUCAGUAGCUGGUCUGAGAGGACGACCAGCCACACUGGAACUGAGACACGGUCCAGACUCCUACGGGAGGCAGCAGUGGGGAAUUUUGGACAAUGGGCGAAAGCCUGAUCCAGCAAUGCCGCGUGAGUGAAGAAGGCCUUCGGGUUGUAAAGCUCUUUUGUCAGGGAAGAAACGGUGGGAGCUAAUAUCUCUUGCUAAUGACGGUACCUGAAGAAUAAGCACCGGCUAACUACGUGCCAGCAGCCGCGGUAAUACGUAGGGUGCAAGCGUUAAUCGGAAUUACUGGGCGUAAAGCGUGCGCAAGCGGUUUUGUAAGUCUGAUGUGAAAUCCCCCGGGCUUCAACCUGUGAAUUGCAUUGGAGACUGCAUGGCUAAAAUCUGGCAAAGGGGGGUAAAUUCCACGUGUACCAUGAAAUGCCGUAAAAUGUGGAGGAACACCAUGGGGAAAGGCACCCCCCGGGGCAAAAUUGAAGCCCCUGCCCCAAAGGGUUGGGGAAGCAACAGGAAUUAAAACCCGGGUAUCCCCCCCCCAUAACGAUGUCUACUAGUUGUCGGGUCUUAAUUGACUUGGUAACGCAGCUAACGCGUGAAGUAGACCGCCUGGGGAGUACGGUCGCAAGAUUAAAACUCAAAGGAAUUGACGGGGACCCGCACAAGCGGUGGAUGAUGUGGAUUAAUUCGAUGCAACGCGAAAAACCUUACCUACCCUUGACAUGGCUGGAAUCCUUGAGAGAUCAGGGAGUGCUCGAAAGAGAACCAGUACACAGGUGCUGCAUGGCUGUCGUCAGCUCGUGUCGUGAGAUGUUGGGUUAAGUCCCGCAACGAGCGCAACCCUUGUCAUUAGUUGCUACGAAAGGGCACUCUAAUGAGACUGCCGGUGACAAACCGGAGGAAGGUGGGGAUGACGUCAAGUCCUCAUGGCCCUUAUGGGUAGGGCUUCACACGUCAUACAAUGGUACAUACAGAGCGCCGCCAACCCGCGAGGGGGAGCUAAUCGCAGAAAGUGUAUCGUAGUCCGGAUUGUAGUCUGCAACUCGACUGCAUGAAGUUGGAAUCGCUAGUAAUCGCGGAUCAGCAUGUCGCGGUGAAUACGUAAAAGGGUCU